rnacentral:lncRNA from 1 species
GGGCCCGUUUGGUGCACAGGAUAAGAGACAGGAUAGGAUAACUAUAUCAUAUCCUGUCUCAAUCCAGUGUUUGGUGACACAACAGGAUAUGAUAAGUUAAUCCUGAAGCUUAUCCUAUCCUGUUUCUCUAGUUAAAAUCCUUAUCCUGAAUUUGAGCUGGGUUACCAGCAGGAUAGGAUAAGAAAAAAAAAUCAUUGAUUUAUUCUAUAAAAUAUAUUUUAAAAUAAAAAAUUGAAAAUUAAUAAAAUAAUUUGAUAGUAAAUUAAUAAUAAAAUAAUUAAUUUUUAAAUAUAUAUGUGAUUUUCUCACAAGGN